UUCGUGAUCGAGUAGUAAUGACACUUGUCUCUCACUCAGGAGUCCCGGGUUCGAUCCCCGGUCGAGGAGCUAAG
rnacentral:tRNA from 1 species